GGGUGUGAUCAUACCAGCGUUAAUGCACCAGAUCCUAUCAGAACUCCGCAGUUAAGCGCGCUUGGGCUAGAGUAGUACUGGGAUGGGUGAACUCUCGGGAAGUCCUAGUGUUGCACCCU
rnacentral:rRNA from 1 species